rnacentral:rRNA from 1 species
GUAGUUAGCCGGGGCUUCCUCCUAAAGUACCGUCAUUUGUUUCGUCCUUUAGGACAGAGAUUUACAAUCCGAAAACCUUCUUCUCUCACGCGGCAUUGCUGGGUCAGGGUUUCCCCCAUUGCCCAAUAUUCCCCACUGCUGCCUCCCGUAGGAGUCUGGACCGUGUCUCAGUUCCAGUGUGGCCGUUCAUCCUCUCAGACCGGCUACCCAUCGUUGGCUUGGUAGGCCGUUACCCUACCAACUACCUAAUGGGACGCGAGCCCGUCUCAAAGCGGAUUGCUCCUUUGACCACCAGAGCACUCGCUCCUGUGGUCUUAUGCGGUAUUAGCACAGUUUUCACUGUGUUAUUCCCCUCUUUGAGGUUGGUUGCUCACGCAUUACUCACCCGUUCGCCACUGAGGUAAUCACCGAAAUGUUUACCUCCGUUCGACUUGCAUGUGUUAGGCAUGCCGCCAGCGUUCGUCCUGAGCCAGAAUCAAACUCUGA